rnacentral:tRNA from 2 species
ACUUAAAUAAUUUAAUUAAAAUAUUGAUUUGUGGUAUCAAAAAUAUGAUAAAGAUCAUUUUAGGUA